rnacentral:rRNA from 1 species
UACGUAGGUGGCAAGCGUUGUCCGGAAUUACUGGGCGUAAAGGGCGUGUAGGCGGGGCGGCAAGUCAGAUGUGAAAUCCCAUGGCUUAACUGUGGAGCUGCAUCUGAAACUGUCGUUCUUGAGUGUCGGAGAGGAAAGUGGAAUUCCCAGUGUAGCGGUGAAAUGCGUAGAGAUUGGGAGGAACACCAGUGGCGAAGGCGGCCCUCUGGUCCAGUACUGACACUCAAGUGCGAAAGCGUGGGGAGCAAACAGG